rnacentral:lncRNA from 1 species
UGCAAAUGAGGAAACUGAGGCCAGCAAGGUUAAGUUACUUGCCCAGUCAUACAGCUAGUAUCUGAGACUAUCUUUGAAGUCAAGAAGAUGAGUUUUCCCAACUUCAGGUCUCGCAUUCUGUCUGUUGGCCCAUGCUAACUGCCCGAAUAAGCCUGACUAGAAGAGAUGAGCAUUUUUAAAUAGCAUAGAGAUCAGUGGACUUAACUCUUUUACAUGACUCUGAAUCUCACUUAAGAGACUGAGUCUGAAAUGAAUUUCACAUUUAUCCCUAGAUGCCUUAUUCAGCAUUCUUCAGACAACUAAGAAUGAUGCAAAAAAGAAAAAAAAUUGAUAAAGAAUUGGAAGUCAAGAUAUUUGGAGAUGGUAAGAGAUUCUAUAGCUGCCCUUAACAAGUUCAAACCUGGCCUGAAUGAAUUACAUUCUGGGG